rnacentral:tRNA from 1 species
CAGAAAAUAGUUUAAUUAAAAUAUUAAUUUUGGAUAUUAAUGAAAAGUACAUCUUUUUUCUGA